rnacentral:rRNA from 1 species
UACGAAGGGGGCUAGCGUUGCUCGGAAUCACUGGGCGUAAAGCGCACGUAGGCGGAUUGUUAAGUCAGGGGUGAAAUCCUGGAGCUCAACUCCAGAACUGCCUUUGAUACUGGCGAUCUCGAGUCCGGGAGAGGUGAGUGGAACUGCGAGUGUAGAGGUGAAAUUCGUAGAUAUUCGCAAGAACACCAGUGGCGAAGGCGGCUCACUGACCCGGUACUGACGCUGAGGCACGAAAGCGUGGGGAGCAAACAGG